CCAGCUCCCACAGCCGCUCCUUGUAAAACUUGUUCUCCAGACCCCUCACCAGCUUCGUUGCCCUUCUCUUGACACACUCAAGCACCUCGAUUGUCCUUCUGUAGUGAGGGGCCCAAACUGAAACACAAUACUUGAGGUGUGGCCUUACCAGAGCCCAGUACAGGGUGACAAUCACUUUCCCUACUCCUGCUGGCUACACUGUUCUUUAUACAAGCAGAAUGCUGGUUGGCCUUCUUGGCCACCUGAGCACAUGCUGGCUCAUAUUCAGUUGACUAUCAACCCAUACUCCCAAGUCCUUCACGGCUAGGAAGCUUUCCACACUCAUCUCCCAACCUGUAACGCUGCUUGGGCUUGUUGUGCUCCAGCU